CAACGAUUAGAAGUUUUCUCUGCGCGCAAAUCCACUACUCUUAGUGAUAGAAUCGGUUUGUGCUAUAUCGUCAAGAAUCAUUUAACUUCUUCUGACGAGGUCAAUGGAAAAUCGGUAUUGCUUAUGAUGUUAUCGUGUGUGAGUGAGAAUGGUUGAAUGAUGUGUUGCUGAGUUGAUGGAGCAAAAGGAAGCCUAUUGUUGAGUUUUACAAGUGGUAGGGUUGAAAGGGAAAACUUGGAACGAGGCACCGCUUUACAACUCACAUCAAAGGCUUGAUAUUUGAUUGAAAACUUGGGAGAAUCGUUGGUUUGAGUGUAACUGUUAGGGAAAAUUGUGGAGUUUGAGAAUUUUAGAUAUUCAAUCAAGCUAACAUGAUUACUGCAUUUGGUUGACAAAGUCAGUGCA